rnacentral:rRNA from 1 species
UACAUUUGAGUGAGUGGCGAACUGGUGAGUAACACGUGGGAAACCUGCCCAGAAGCGGGGGAUAACACCUGGAAACAGAUGCUAAUACCGCAUAACAACUUGGACCGCAUGGUCCGAGUUGAAAGAUGGCUUCGGCUAUCACUUUUGGAUGGUCCCGCGGCGUAUUAGCUAGAUGGUGGGUAACGGCUCACCAUGGCAAUGAUACGUAGCCGACCUGAGAGGGUAAUCGGCCACAUUGGGACUGAGACACGGCCCAAACUCCUACGGGAGGCAGCAGUAGGGAAUCUUCCACAAUGGACGAAAGUCUGAUGGAGCAACGCCGCGUGAGUGAAGAAGGGUUUCGGCUCGUAAAACUCUGUUGUUAAAGAAGAACAUAUCUGAGAGUAACUGUUCAGGUAUUGACGGUAUUUAACCAGAAAGCCACGGCUAACUACGUGCCAGCAGCCGCGGUAAUACGUAGGUGGCAAGCGUUGUCCGGAUUUAUUGGGCGUAAAGCGAGCGCAGGCGGUUUUUUAAGUCUGAUGUGAAAGCCUUCGGCUCAACCGAAGAAGUGCAUCGGAAACUGGGAAACUUGAGUGCAGAAGAGGACAGUGGAACUCCAUGUGUAGCGGUGAAAUGCGUAGAUAUAUGGAAGAACACCAGUGGCGAAGGCGGCUGUCUGGUCUGUAACUGACGCUGAGGCUCGAAAGUAUGGGUAGCAAACAGGAUUAGAUACCCUGGUAGUCCAUACCGUAAACGAUGAAUGCUAAGUGUUGGAGGGUUUCCGCCCUUCAGUGCUGCAGCUAACGCAUUAAGCAUUCCGCCUGGGGAGUACGGCCGCAGGCUGAAACUCAAAGGAAUUGACGGGGGCCCGCACAAGCGGUGGA